rnacentral:rRNA from 1 species
CCGUAGCCCAAGAGAUCGGGAUAACACCUGGAAACAGAUGCUAAUACCGGAUAACAACAGAUGAUGCCUAUCAACUGUUUAAAAGAUGGUUCUGCUAUCACUCUUGGAUGGACCUGCGGUGCAUUAGCUAGUUGGUAGGGUAACGGCCUACCAAGGCGAUGAUGCAUAGCCGAGUUGAGANACUGAUCGGCCACAUUGGGACUGAGACACGGCCCAAACUCCUACGGGAGGCAGCAGC